rnacentral:rRNA from 1 species
UGGGGAAUAUUGGACAAUGGGCGCAAGCCUGAUCCAGCCAUGCCGCGUGAGUGAUGAAGGCCCUAGGGUUGUAAAGCUCUUUCGCCAGGGACGAUAAUGACGGUACCUGGAUAAGAAGCCCCGGCUAACUUCGUGCCAGCAGCCGCGGUAAUACGAAGGGGGCUAGCGUUGUUCGGAAUCACUGGGCGUAAAGCGCACGUAGGCGGAUCUUUAAGUCAGGGGUGAAAUCCCGAGGCUCAACCUCGGAACUGCCUUUGAUACUGGAGGUCUCGAGUCCGGGAGAGGUGAGUGGAACUGCGAGUGUAGAGGUGAAAUUCGUAGGUAUUCGCAAGAACACCAGUGGCGAAGGCGGCUCACUGGCCCGGUACUGACGCUGAGGUGCGAAAGCGUGGGGAGCAAAACAGGAUUAGAUACCCUGGUAGUCCACGCCCGUAAAACUAUGGAUGCUAGCCGUUGGGCAGCUUGCUGUUCAGUGGCGCAGCUAACGCUUUUAAGCACCCGCCUGGGGAGUACGGUCGCAAGAUUAAAACUCAAAUGAAUUGACGGGGUCAUAGCUGUUUCCU